UACGUAGGUGGCAAACGUUAUCCGGAUUUAUUGGGUGUAAAGGGCGUGUAGGCGGGAAUGCAAGUCAGAUGUGAAAACUCAGGGCUCAACCCUGAGCCUGCAUUUGAAACUGUAUUUCUUGAGUGCUGGAGAGGCAAUCGGAAUUCCGUGUGUAGCGGUGAAAUGCGUAGAUAUACGGAGGAACACCAGUGGCGAAGGCGGAUUGCUGGACAGUAACUGACGCUGAGGCGCGAAAGCGUGGGGAGCAGACAGG
rnacentral:rRNA from 1 species